GUUUCUAUCUAUGAAGUGUUUCCUUCCAGUACGAAAGGAUCGAAGGGAAAAAGGUCCAUGCUUAAAGUAAACCUUACCCCAACCUAAUAAAAACAACUCAAUUAGGUAAAAAGCACACCACCCGCUCAAAGAUAACGAU
rnacentral:rRNA from 1 species